GGACUCUUCAGGGUGAGACGUGAAGAUGUGUUUAUGCGUAUCUCAACAACUAAAUGUAUGAAGAGUUCCAGUUUCUCCCCAUUCUUGUCAACACUUGGAUGCACAGUCUUUUUUUCCAUUCUAAUAUAUGAAGAAACUAAAAUACAGGGACCCAGGUCUCACAACUAUUAAGAGCACAGCAGGAUUUGAAUCCAUGCAGUCUGGCUCCUGAACUCUUCCUG